CCUACGGGUGGCAGCAGUGAGGAAUAUUGGUCAAUGGACGCAAGUCUGAACCAGCCAUGCCGCGUGCAGGAUGACGGCUCUAUGAGUUGUAAACGGCGUUUGUACGAGGGUAAAUCUCGAUACGUGUAUGGGUGUGAAAGUAUCGUACGAAUAAGGAUAGGCUAACUCCGUGCCAGCAGCCCCGGUAAGACGGAGGAUUCAAGCGUUAUCCGGAUUUAUUGGGUUUAAAGGGUGCGUAGGCGGUUCGAUAAGUUAGAGGUGAAAUCCCGGGGCUCAACUCCGGCCCCGCCUCUGAUACUGUCGGGCUAGAGUUUAGUUGCGGUAGGCGGAAUGUAAUGUGUAGCGGUGAAAUGCAUAGAGAUCAUACAGAACACCGAAUGCGAAGGCAGCUUACCAAGCUACGACUGACGUUGAGGCACGAAAGCGUGGGGAGCAAACAGGAUUAGAUACCCUUGUAGUC
rnacentral:rRNA from 1 species